UCGUAACAAGGUUUCCGUAGGUGAACCUGCGGAAGGAUCAUUACUGAGCGUGAAGACUCUCGGGCCCUCUAUCCCUGGCGCAGGCCAGUGCGAGGGGGGAACCUGCCGGAGUCGACCCUCCCACCCGUGUCGAUGUUCUCUCCUGUUGCUUUGGUGGGCCAGGGGCCGCCUAGCGGACCCUGCUGGCCCUGUGAGGGCUAGUGCGUGCCUGCCAGAGAAAGUUGACAACUCGUUUGAUGUAGGAAGUCUGAGCAGCCCCAGUGGGGGAACACACAAUUUAGUUAAAACUUUCAACAACGGAUCUCUUGGCUCUGGCAUCGAUGAAGAACGCAGCGAAAUGCGAUAAGUAAUGUGAAUUGCAGAAUCUAGUGAAUCAUCGAAUCUUUGAACGCACAUUGCGCCCCUUGGUAUUCCGAGGGGCAUGCCUGUUCGAGCGUCAAAACAACCCCUCAAGUCAGUCUGGCUUGGUCUUGGGGUCCGCCCGCGACUGUGCGGCGGCCCCUAAAUCCAGUGGCGGUACCGGUACUGCUCUCCGCGUAGUCACGAUCUCGCGACAGGGUGGCACCGGAUCCAGCCAGAAGACGACGGCGCUGCCCCUGUGCAGUGCCUCUUUCUAUGGUUGACCUCGAAUCAGGUAGGGAUACCCGCUGAACUUAAGCAUAUCAAAA
rnacentral:rRNA from 1 species